AAACAGGCUGGUAUUUAAACUUGCCAGUAGCAGAUGGGGGGUGGGGGUGGGGCAGCCUUGGCCCCUCAGAGCACGAAUGAUGGAGGCUGGACCCACCUGCCUGCCGAAGCUGGCUGAGCCCCCAAGGCCAGGUUCCCCCACCCUCAGCCUAAAAGGUGGAGAGGAGGGAGCACACGCUAAGGUACCCCACUUCCCCAGCUCCUGAAAUGGUUUCGAAGCAGGAGAGAAGGUAGGAAUCCUUUCUCUCCUAGGCUGCAGGGGACCCAUCCUUCCUCACUUAUCAGCGUGCUCCCAAAUGCAGUGACUAUAACUGAAAGGCCUUCCUUUUUCCAAAAAUGAUGGCUAUUUGAAACUCAAAAGGCAGUGAUUGAGU
rnacentral:lncRNA from 1 species